rnacentral:rRNA from 1 species
AUUGAACGCUGGCGGCAGGCCUAACACAUGCAAGUCGAGCGGAUGAAGGGAGCUUGCUCCUGGAUUCAGCGGCGGACGGGUGAGUAAUGCCUAGGAAUCUGCCUGGUAGUGGGGGAUAACGUCCGGAAACGGGCGCUAAUACCGCAUACGUCCUGAGGGAGAAAGUGGGGGAUCUUCGGACCUCACGCUAUCAGAUGAGCCUAGGUCGGAUUAGCUAGUUGGUGGGGUAAAGGCCUACCAAGGCGACGAUCCGUAACUGGUCUGAGAGGAUGAUCAGUCACACUGGAACUGAGACACGGUCCAGACUCCUACGGGAAGCAGCAGUGGGGAAUAUUGGACAAUGGGCGAAAGCCUGAUCCAGCCAUGCCGCGUGUGUGAAGAAGGUCUUCGGAUUGUAAAGCACUUUAAGUUGGGAGGAAGGGCAGUAAGUUAAUACCUUGCUGUUUUGACGUUACCAACAGAAUAAGCACCGGCUAACUUCGG